GCCGGGCGCGGUGGCACGUGCCUGUAGCCCCAGCUACUCGGGAGUCUGAGGCGGGAGGAUCGCUUGAGUCCAGGAGUUCUGGGCUGCAGUGAGCUAUGCCAAUCAGGUGUCCACACUAAGUUUGGCAUCAAUAUGGUGACCUCCUGGGAGCAGGGAACCACCAGGUUGCCUAAGAAGGGGUGAACCGGCCCAGGUCAGAAACGGAGCAGGUGAAAACUCCCGGGCUGAUCAGUAGUGGGAUCGCGCCUGUGAAUAGCCACUGCACUCCAGCCUGGGCAACACAGUGAGACCUCACCUUU
rnacentral:SRP_RNA from 1 species